GAUCUGUAACUGUUUGUAGUCAUUUAUUAGUCGUGCUCGUAUAAAAUGUGUAAAGCGCCCACAUUCUGUCUGUCUGUCUGUAUGUCCACGUGAAAAGGUAAUCAGUCCACUGGAAUCCAAGUUAUCAUUUAUAGUGUUAUUCUUCAUCAAAAGUUCUUGGAAAUGUUUUGAUUUUGUUGAGAUUGCCCAAUAGUGCCUGCCGUACCAAUGUUUGAAAUUUGAAAAUGUGCCAUUUUAAAAGCAUUGACACUUUUUUUUUAAAUCUUCUAUCUUAAAACAGAGAAACAUUCUGUGCAACCAAAAUGCCAUUAAAAAACAUGGACUUCAGGUACUCUGCUAAUACACGUAAUGCCAUUCCAUUAUUACUGGUAUUUUUGAAAUGACUCUUUGUUAUGGAAACAUUUAGGAAACAAAAGUAUGAUAUCUGCCUGCUAGAUGAAGCAAAAAAAAUAUAUUAAAAUAUAAAUAAAUAAUUAAACAUGCUCCUCCAUUCACACUGGAACACAACUGACUUUGUGCCAGGCGUACAUUUUCUAACUUCUGGUGAACAUAGUUAAGGCCAUUGCAUUCAUCAAGAGCUUACAGUAUAGUGAGGUGGCACAUAAACAUGACAAGUGAGGCUAAGCUGAAAAAAAAUGUGUUAGUGCCACACAGGUGGCUUGGCAUUUAUUGACCACUUAACUUUACAUGAUCUUGUUAGUGCCACACAGGUGGCUUGGCAUUUAUUGACCACUUAACUUUACAUGAUCUUGUUAGUGCCACACAGGUGGCUUGGCAUUUAUUGACCACUUAACUUUAUGUGCCUUGUUAGUGCCACACAGGUGGCUUGGCAUUUAU